rnacentral:rRNA from 1 species
AGAGUUUGAUUAUGGCUCAGGAUGAACRCUGGCGGCGUGCCUAANACAUGCAAGUCGAACGGGAGACCUCAUUUCGAUGGGGUGGAGAGUGGCGCACGGGUGAGGAACACAUGGCUGACCUGCCCUUCAGGGGGGGACAACGGCUGGAAACGGCUGCUAAGACCCCAUACGCUCGGAGAGGUUAGAGGCUCUUUGAGGAAAGGCCUGCGAGGGUGCUGAAGGAGGGGGCUGUGGCCCAUCAGCUAGUUGGUGAGGUAAGGGCUUACCAAGGCGACGACGGGUAGGGGGCCUGAGAGGGUGACCCCCCCACACUGGGACUGAGACACGGCCCAGACUCCUACGGGAGGCAGCAGUAAGGGAUCUUGCGACAAUGGGCGAAAGCUGACGCAGCAACGCCGCGUGCGGGAUGACGGCCUUCGGGUUGUAAACCGCUUUUCGAGGGGAAGAGGAAGGACGGUACCCUCGGAAUAAGUCUCGGCUAACUACGUGCCAGCAGCCGCGGUAAAACGUAGGAGGCGAGCGUUAUCC